rnacentral:misc_RNA from 1 species
AGGAUAAUGAUCCAUCAGCCUCUUGGUGGAGCUCAAGGUGGGCAGUCUGACAUAGAUAUUCAGGCAAAUGAAAUGCUGCAUCAUAAGGCAAACCUAAAUGGGUAUCUCGCCUACCACACUGGUCAAAGUCUUGAGAAGAUCAACCAGGACACAGACCGUGACUACUUCAUGAGCGCAAAAGAAGCCAGAGACUAUGGGCUUAUUGAUGGUGUCAUCACAAAUCCGCUCAAGGCAUUCCAGCCGCUGGCAGCUGCGGCAGAUCAACAAUGACCAGUCUUUAAUUUGUGUAAAAUUCCUGGUCCUUGCGAACUAUGU